GCGCCCUUAGCUCAGCUGGAUAGAGCAACGGCUUUCUAAGCCGUGGGUCGGAGGUUCGAAUCCUCCAGGGCGCACCA
rnacentral:tRNA from 1 species